AGCCCUUCGGGGUGGAUUAUGGCGAACGGGUGAGUAACACGUGGGCAAUCUGCCCUUCACUCUGGGACAAGCCCUGGAAACGGGGUCUAAUACCGGAUAACACCGGCCUCCGCAUGGGGGCCGGUUGAAAGCUCCGGCGGUGAAGGAUGAGCCCGCGGCCUAUCAGCUUGUUGGUGGGGUAAUGGCCUACCAAGGCGACGACGGGUAGCCGGCCUGAGAGGGCGACCGGCCACACUGGGACUGAGACACGGCCCAGACUCCUACGGGAGGCAGCAGUGGGGAAUAUUGCACAAUGGGCGAAAGCCUGAUGCAGCGACGCCGCGUGAGGGAUGACGGCCUUCGGGUUGUAAACCUCUUUCAGCAGGGAAGAAGCGAGAGUGACGGUACCUGCAGAAGAAGCGCCGGCUAACUACGUGCCAGCAGCCGCGGUAAUACGUAGGGCGCAAGCGUUGUCCGGAAUUAUUGGGCGUAAAGAGCUCGUAGGCGGCUUGUCACGUCGGGUGUGAAAGCCCGGGGCUUAACCCCGGGUCUGCAUCCGAUACGGGCAGGCUAGAGUGUGGUAGGGGAGAUCGGAAUUCCUGGUGUAGCGGUGAAAUGCGCAGAUAUCAGGAGGAACACCGGUGGCGAAGGCGGAUCUCUGGGCCAUUACUGACGCUGAGGAGCGAAAGCGUGGGGAGCGAACAGGAUUAGAUACCCUGGU
rnacentral:rRNA from 1 species